rnacentral:rRNA from 1 species
GGCCCAGAUCGUUUACCGUGAAAAAAUUAGAGUGUUCAAAGCAGGCAGAUCCAAUUUUCUGCCACCGAAUACAUUAGCAUGGGAUAAUGGAAUAGGACCCUGUCCUCCUAUUUUCAGUUGGUUUUGGCAGCGCGAGGACUAGGGUAAUGAUUAAUAGGGAUAGUUGGGGGCAUUAAUAUUUAAUUGUCAGAGGUGAAAUUCUUGGAUUUAUGAAAGAUUAACUUCUGCGAAAGCAUCUGCCAAGGAUGUUUUCAUUAAUCAAGAACGAAAGUUAGGGGAUCGAAGACGAUCAGAUACCGUCGUAGUCUUAACCAUAAACGAUGCCGACCAGCGAUUAGGAGACGUUGAAUACAAAACACCACCAUCGGUGCGGUCGUCCUUGGCGUCGGUUUCGGCCGGCGCGGGGGUGGCUUAGCCCGGUGGCACCGGUGAAUGACUCCCCUAGCAGCUUGUGAGA